GGGGGCUGUAGUUCAGUGGUAGAGCAUCUGCCUGGUAUGCAGAAGGUCCCAGGUUCAAUCCCUGGCAUCUCCA